AUUUUAAUAGCUUAUUUUUAAAGCAUAAUAUUGAAGAUAUUAAGAAAGUAAUUUUACUUUAAAGUAUU
rnacentral:tRNA from 1 species